GGAGGGUGCGAGCGUUAAUCGGAAUUACUGGGCGUAAAGCGUACGCAGGCGGUUUGUUAAGCGAGAUGUGAAAGCCCCGGGCUCAACCUGGGAACUGCAUUUCGAACUGGCAAACUAGAGUGUGAUAGAGGGUGGUAGAAUUUCAGGUGUAGCGGUGAAAUGCGUAGAGAUCGGAAGGAAUACCGAUGGCGAAGGCAGCCACCUGGGUCAACACUGACGCUCAUGUACGAAAGCGUGGGGAGCAAACGGGAUUAGAUACCCUGGUAGUCCACGCCGUAAACGAUGUCUACUAG
rnacentral:rRNA from 1 species